AUGAACGCUGGCGGCGUGCUUAAUACAUGCAAGUCGAACGAAGCUCCUUAUCUUCGGACGAGGAGUCUUAGUGGCGAACGGGUGAGUAACGCGUUGGUGACCUGCCCCGAAGAGAGGGAUACCAGUUCGAAAGGACUGCUAAUACCGCAUAAUAUUGUACAGAUUAGAAGCUGGGCAAUGAAAAGGAGAAAUCCGCUUUGGGAGGGGCCUGCGUCCCAUCAGCUAGUUGGUAGGGUAAAAGCCUACCAAGGCGAUGACGGGUAGGGGACCUGAGAGGGUGGCCCCCCACAAUGGAACUGAAACACGGUCCAUACACCUACGGGUGGCAGCAGUAGGGAAUAUUGGUUAAUGGGCGAAAGCCUGAACCAGCAACGCCGCGUGCACGAUGAAGGCCUUCGGGUUGUAAAGUGCUUUUUGAAGGGAAGAGGAAGGACGGUACCUUCAGAAUAAGUCUCGGCUAACUACGU
rnacentral:rRNA from 1 species